rnacentral:rRNA from 1 species
GAUCAUGGCUCAGGAUGAACGCUAGCGACAGGCUUAACACAUGCAAGUCGAGGGGCAGCACGGGAGUAGCAAUACAACUGGUGGCGACCGGCGCACGGGUGAGUAACGCGUAUGCAACCUACCUAUCAGAGGGGAAUAACCCGGCGAAAGUCGGACUAAUACCGCAUAAAACAGGGGCACCGCAUGGUGAUAUUUGUUAAAGAAAUUCGCUGAUAGAUGGGCAUGCGUUCCAUUAGGUAGUUGGUGAGGUAACGGCUCACCAAGCCGACGAUGGAUAGGGAACUGAGAGGUUGGUCCCCCACACUGGUACUGAGACACGGACCAGACUCCUACGGGAGGCAGCAGUGAGGAAUAUUGGUCAAUGGGCGAGAGCCUGAACCAGCCAAGUCGCGUGAAGGAAGAAGGAUCUAUGGUUACGUAAACUUCUUUUGCGAGGGGAAUAAAGUGCGGGACGUGUCCUGUUUUGUAUGUACCCUGAGAAUAAGGAUCGGCUAACUCCGUGCCAGCCGCAGC